GGGGGAACUGAAACAUCUAAGUACCCCGAGGAAAAGAAAUCAACCGAGAUUCCCCCAGUAGCGGCGAGCGAACGGGGAGGAGCCCAGAGCCUGAAUCAGUGUGUGUGUUAGUGGAAGCGUCUGGAAAGGCGCGCGAUACAGGGUGACAGCCCCGUACACAAAAAUGCACAUGCUGUGAGCUCGAUGAGUAGGGCGGGACACGUGGUAUCCUGUCUGAAUAUGGGGGGACCAUCCUCCAAGGCUAAAUACUCCUGACUGACCGAUAGUGAACCAGUACCGUGAGGGAAAGGCGAAAAGAACCCCGGCGAGGGGAGUGAAAAAGAACCUGAAACCGUGUACGUACAAGCAGUGGGAGCACAGAGCAAUCUGUGUGACUGCGUACCUUUUGUAUAAUGGGUCAGCGACUUAUAUUCUGUAGCAAGGUUAACCGAAUAGGGGAGCCGAAGGGAAACCGAGUCUUAACUGGGCGUUAAGUUGCAGGGUAUAGACCCGAAACCCGGUGAUCUAGCCAUGGGCAGGUUGAAGGUUGGGUAACACUAACUGGAGGACCGAACCGACUAAUGUUGAAAAAUUAGCGGAUGACUUGUGGCUGGGGGUGAAAGGCCAAUCAAACCGGGAGAUAGCUGGUUCUCCCCGAAAGCUAUUUAGGUAGCGCCUCGUGAAUUCAUCUCCGGGGGUAGAGCACUGUUUCGGCAAGGGGGUCAUCCCGACUUACCAACCCGAUGCAAACUGCGAAUACCGGAGAAUGUUAUCACGGGAGACACACGGCGGGUGCUAACGUCCGUCGUGAAGAGGGAAACAACCCAGACCGCCAGCUAAGGUCCCAAAGUCAUGGUUAAGUGGGAAACGAUGUGGGAAGGCCCAGACAGCCAGGAUGUUGGCUUAGAAGCAGCCAUCAUUUAAAGAAAGCGUAAUAGCUCACUGGUCGAGUCGGCCUGCGCGGAAGAUGUAACGGGGCUAAACCAUGCACCGAAGCUGCGGCAGCGACGCUUAUGCGUUGUUGGGUAGGGGAGCGUUCUGUAAGCCUGCGAAGGUGUGCUGUGAGGCAUGCUGGAGGUAUCAGAAGUGCGAAUGCUGACAUAAGUAACGAUAAAGCGGGUGAAAAGCCCGCUCGCCGGAAGACCAAGGGUUCCUGUCCAACGUUAAUCGGGGCAGGGUGAGUCGACCCCUAAGGCGAGGCCGAAAGGCGUAGUCGAUGGGAAACAGGUUAAUAUUCCUGUACUUGGUGUUACUGCGAAGGGGGGACGGAGAAGGCUAUGUUGGCCGGGCGACGGUUGUCCCGGUUUAAGCGUGUAGGCUGGUUUUCCAGGCAAAUCCGGAAAACUAAGGCUGAGGCGUGAUGACGAGGCACUACGGUGCUGAAGCAACAAAUGCCCUGCUUCCAGGAAAAGCCUCUAAGCAUCAGGUAACAUCAAAUCGUACCCCAAACCGACACAGGUGGUCAGGUAGAGAAUACCAAGGCGCUUGAGAGAAC
rnacentral:rRNA from 1 species